AGAGCGAACGCUGGCGGCAGGCUUAACACAUGCAAGUCGAACGGAUCCUUCGGGAUUAGUGGCGGACGGGUGAGUAACACGUGGGAACGUGCCUUUAGGUUCGGAACAACACAGGGAAACUUGUGCUAAUACCGGAUGUGCCCUUCGGGGGAAAGAUUUAUCGCCUUUAGAGCGGCCCGCGUCUGAUUAGCUUGUUGGCGAGGUAAAGGCUCACCAAGGCUACGAUCAGUAGCUGGUCUGAGAGGAUGGCCAGCCACAUUGGGACUGAGACACGGCCCAAACUCCUACGGGAGGCAGCAGUGGGGAAUCUUGCGCAAUGGGGGAAACCCUGACGCAGCCAUGCCGCGUGGAUGAUGAAGGUCUUAGGAUUGUAAAAUCCUUUCAGCGGGGACGAUAAUGACGGUACCCGCAGAAGAAGCCCCGGCUAACUUCGUGCCAGCAGCCGC
rnacentral:rRNA from 1 species